AAGCAGAGUCAAAGAGAAGCCAUGAAGCCGCCGGAGACAGAUGCUGGGAACUUUAGUCGCUGUGUUCGGAAAGUUAACACCCAGCCAUCUUCUGCAUCACCCCGAGGAGGGAGGGGCUGCGAGGAAUAUAGAUUCCUGGCUUCUUCUCUGACUGGCCGAAUCUGUACUUCUGCAUGCAGAGUUCAGGGAUCUACUGCUGGCUGAUGCAAACUCCCCUGCGUAGUGUUCCACUCAGCUUAAGAAGCACAGCACCCCGUGGGAUAGAGCCCGGCUGUGGAACACGGCAUUCAAAGCCCAGCAGGAUGUACUUCUAUUUGCGGGCCUAUCUUGUCGGGUUGGUGGAAACAUCUAUGAAACCCACAUCUGUGUCUAGCCACACUGAUGCAACUCAUAAAACUUGUCUGAGAGUCUUA